GCUUGCAACACAUUUGUGUUUCACAAGGAAGAAGGUGGAUGGAGGUCUGGGGAAAAAAGCCUUGUAUUUCUGAAGUUCAGCGUGUUAGGAGGUUUCUAAGCUGGGAGCUGGAGGAGGAGGGAAUGACAUUCAGUGGUGUUUUUCUCAGGUGAAAGGGGCUGUAGAUGAUGAUGUAGCAGAAGCGGAUAUAAUUUCUACAGUAGAAUUUAACCAUUCUGGAGAAUUACUAGCAACAGGA